GGAUUGUGGCUCAGAGGUAGAUAGCUCGCCUACCAUGCGUGAGGCCCUGGGUUUGAUCCUCAGCACCA
rnacentral:tRNA from 1 species